rnacentral:rRNA from 1 species
GACGAAGGGGGCUAGCGUUGUUCGGAAUUACUGGGCGUAAAGCGCGUGUAGGCGGUUAUCCAAGUCGGGUGUGAAAGCCUUGAGCUCAACUCAAGAAAUGCAUUCGGUACUGGGUGACUAGAGGACCGGAGAGGAUAGUGGAAUUCCCAGUGUAGUGGUGAAAUACGUAGAUAUUGGGAGGAACACCAGUGGCGAAGGCGGUCCCCUGGGCCGGAACUGACGCUGAGGCGCGAAAGCGUGGGUAGCAAACGGG